rnacentral:rRNA from 1 species
AACAGGAUUAGAUACCCUGGUAGUCCACGCCCUAAACGAUGUCAACUAGCUGUUGGGGCCUUCGGGCCUUGGUAGCGCAGCUAACGCGUGAAGUUGACCGCCUGGGGAGUACGGUCGCAAGAUUAAAACUCAAAGGAAUUGACGGGGACCCGCACAAGCGGUGGAUGAUGUGGAUUAAUUCGAUGCAACGCGAAAAACCUUACCUACCCUUGACAUGUCUGGAAUGCCGAAGAGAUUUGGCAGUGCUCGCAAGAGAACCGGAACACAGGUGCUGCAUGGCUGUCGUCAGCUCGUGUCGCGAGAUGUUGGGUUAAGUCCCGCAACGAGCGCAACCCUUGUCAUUAGUUGCUACGAAAGGGCACUCUAAUGAGACUGCCGGUGACAAACCGGAGGAAGGUGGGGAUGACGUCAAGUCCUCAUGGCCCUUAUGGGUAGGGCUUCACACGUCAUACAAUGGUCGGGACAGAGGGUCGCCAACCCGCGAGGGGGAGCCAAUCCCAGAAACCCGAUCGUAGUCCGGAUCGCAGUCUGCAACUCGACUGCGUGAAGUCGGAAUCGCUAGUAAUCGCGGAUCAGCAUGUCGCGGUGAAUGCGUUCCCGGGUCUUGUACACACCGCCCGUCACACCAUGGGAGUGGGUUGCAAAAGAAGUAGGUAGCUUAACCUUCGGGAGGGCGCUUACCACUUUGUGAUUCAUGACUGGGGUGAAGUCGUAACAAGGUAACC